AUUUUGGACAAUGGGGGCAACCCUGAUCCAGCCAUUCCGCGUGUGUGAUGAAGGCCUUCGGGUUGUAAAGCACUUUUGGCAGGAAAGAAAUGGCACGGGUUAAUACCCUGGGUGGAUGACGGUACCUGCAGAAUAAGCACCGGCUAACUACGUGCCAGCAGCCGCGGUAAUACGUAGGGUGCAAGCGUUAAUCGGAAUUACUGGGCGUAAAGCGUGCGUAGGCGGUUCGGAAAGAAAGAUGUGAAAUCCCAGGGCUCAACCUUGGAAUGGCAUUUUUAACUCCCGAGCUAGAGUGUGUCAGAGGGGGGUGGAAUUCCGCGUGUAGCAGUGAAAUGCGUAGAGAUGCGGAGGAACACCGAUGGCGAAGGCAGCCCCCUGGGAUAACACUGACGCUCAGGCACGAAAGCGUGGGGAGCAAACAGG
rnacentral:rRNA from 1 species